rnacentral:lncRNA from 1 species
UUCUUUUGAUGACAGCAUCCAGUGAAGGCAUUAUAGUUUUGAAAGACCUCGAAAUGAAGGAGCAGCAAAUCCUGCCAAUCAUCCAACAGCAAGAAUUGUCCCCUAAGAGAGCUGAUUUACACAGCAGGACAUCAAAUAGAUGAUAAAGGCACAGAAUAUUGGUGAGCAAUUUAAAGGAAUACUAUCAUUUUUACCACUGUACAUUUGAAUAUCACUUUUAUUUUUUUCUAAGUAUUUUUGCCCAUAUUAUCUCAUUGUAUAUCCUGCCGUAUAUUUAAAACUUGCCAUUUUUCAAGUGGCCAUUUUCACAGCUAGAUGGGAUUUUUAAAAAAUCUAUGUAUAUUUGAAGCUGGUUAAAAACAACUGUAAUCUGAGAAAGACCUCUUAUUGACUGGAGCUAGAAAAGGAAGAGGGGAUUUUAUUAUUCUCAAAACACCUGGAAAUUUGAUGUUGCUUAUUCUGUCUCUAUCACAAUGCUGAAGUCUAGCACUUGCCUUGAGCAGUCUGUAUAUAAUAAAUAAUUUUUAGUCAUGAAAAGAAUGGGCUUCCCUGGUGGCUCAGACAGUAAAGAAUCUUCUUGCAAAGUGGGAGACCUGGGUUCAGUCCCUGGGGUGUG